rnacentral:rRNA from 1 species
UAGGGAAUCUUCGGCAAUGGACGAAAGUCUGACCGAGCAACGCCGCGUGAGUGAAGAAGGUUUUCGGAUCGUAAAACUCUGUUGUUAGAGAAGAACAAGGACGUUAGUAACUGAACGUCCCCUGACGGUAUCUAACCAGAAAGCCACGGCUAACUACGUGCCAGCAGCCGCGGUAAUACGUAGGUGGCAAGCGUUGUCCGGAUUUAUUGGGCGUAAAGCGAGCGCAGGCGGUUUCUUAAGUCUGAUGUGAAAGCCCCCGGCUCAACCGGGGAGGGUGAUUGGAAACUGGGAGACUUGAGUGCAGAAGAGGAGAGUGGAAUUCCAUGUGUAGCGGUGAAAUGCGUAGAUAUAUGGGGGAACACCAGUGGCGAAGGCGGCUCUCUGGUCUGUAACUGACGCUGAGGCUCGAAAGCGUGGGGAGCAAACAGG